rnacentral:antisense_RNA from 1 species
UGUGGGAGCUGGCUUGCCUGCGAUGACGGUGGUGAAUGCACCGGCGCUAUCGCAGGCAAGCCAGCUCCCACA